rnacentral:rRNA from 1 species
AAGUCGAACGCUUCUUUCCUCCCAAGUGCUUGCACUCAAUUGGAAAGAGGAGUGGCGGACGGGUGAGUAACACGUGGGUAACCUACCCAUCAGAGGGGGAUAACACUUGGAAACAGGUGCUAAUACCGCAUAACAGUUUAUGCCGCAUGGCAUAAGAGUGAAAGGCGCUUUCGGGUGUCGCUGAUGGAUGGACCCGCGGUGCAUUAGCUAGUUGGUGAGGUAACGGCUCACCAAGGCCACGAUGCAUAGCCGACCUGAGAGGGUGAUCGGCCACACUGGGACUGAGACACGGCCCAGACUCCUACGGGAGGCAGCAGUAGGGAAUCUUCGGCAAUGGACGAAAGUCUGACCGAGCAACGCCGCGUGAGUGAAGAAGGUUUUCGGAUCGUAAAACUCUGUUGUUAGAGAAGAACAAGGACGUUAGUAACUGAACGUCCCCUGACGGUAUCUAACCAGAAAGCCACGGCUAACUACGUGCCAGCAGCCGCGGUAAUACGUAGGUGGCAAGCGUUGUCCGGAUUUAUUGGGCGUAAAGCGAGCGCAGGCGGUUUCUUAAGUCUGAUGUGAAAGCCCCCGGCUCAACCGGGGAGGGUCAUUGGAAACUGGGAGACUUGAGUGCAGAAGAGGAGAGUGGAAUUCCAUGUGUAGCGGUGAAAUGCGUAGAUAUAUGGAGGAACACCAGUGGCGAAGGCGGCUC